AUUGAACGCUGGCGGCAUGCCUUACACAUGCAAGUCGAACGGUAACGGGCCUUCGGGUGCCGACGAGUGGCGAACGGGUGAGUAAUGUAUCGGAACGUACCUUUCAGUGGGGGAUAACGUAGCGAAAGUUACGCUAAUACCGCAUAUUCUGUGAGCAGGAAAGCAGGGGAUCGCAGGACCUUGCGCUGAUUGAGCGGCGGAUAUCAGAUUAGCUAGUUGGUGAGGUAAAGGCUCACCAAGGCGACGAUCUGUAGCGGGUCUGAGAGGAUGAUCCGCCACACUGGAACUGAGACACGGUCCAGACUCCUACGGGAGGCAGCAGUGGGGAAUUUUGGACAAUGGGGGCAACCCUGAUCCAGCCAUGCCGCGUGAGUGAAGAAGGCCUUCGGGUUGUAAAGCUCUUUCGGCCGGGAAGAAAUCGUAUCAGCUAAUACCUGGUGCGGAUGACGGUACCGGCAUAAGAAGCACCGGCUAACUACGUGCCAGCAGCCGCAGUAACAC
rnacentral:rRNA from 1 species